ensembl:snoRNA
UGGUCAUUACCAAGGCUUUAAGAAUGCAGUUUCUCAUUUGCUGUGGACAUGACCAUAAAACAUACUCCCACCAGGUAUUCUGUGUGCUACUUUGCUAGCAGUCAACCUGCUGGGAACAUCU